CCUACGGGAGGCUGCAGUGAGGAAUAUUGGUCAAUGGGCGCGAGCCUGAACCAGCCAAGUAGCGUGAAGGAUGACUGCCCUACGGGUUUUAAACUUCUUUUAUAAAGGAAUCAAGUGAGGCACGUGUGCCUUUUUGUCUGUACUUUAUGAAUAAGGAUCGGCUAACUCCGUGCCAGCAGCCGCGGUAAUACGGAGGAUCCGAGCGUUAUCCGGAGUUAUUGGGUUUAAAGGGAGCGUAGAUGGGUUGUUAAGUCAGUUGGGAAAGUUUGCGGCACAACCGUAAAAUUGCAAUUGAUACGGGUAGUCAUGAGUACAGUUGAGGUAGGCGGAAUUCGUGGUGUAGCGGUGAAAU
rnacentral:rRNA from 1 species